AGAACGAACGCUGGCGGCGCGCUUAACACAUGCAAGUCGAACGAGAAGGCGUAGCAAUACGCUUGUACAGUGGCGAACGGGUGAGGAAUACAUGGGUAACCUACCCUCGAGUGGGGGAUAACCCGCCGAAAGGCGGGCUAAUACCGCGUACGCUCCCGAUCUUGCGGGAUUGGAAGGAAAGCUGUCCCAUGGGGAUGGCGUUCAAGGAUGGGCUCAUGUCCUAUCAGCUUGUUGGUAGGGUAACGGCCUACCAAGGCAUCGACGGGUAGCUGGUCUGAGAGGACGAUCAGCCACACUGGCACUGCGACACGGGCCAGACUCCGUACGGGAGCAGCAGUGAGGAAUAUUGCGCAAGUGGGACAAAGCCUGACGCAGCGACGCCGCGGUGGGGAUGAAGUCUUCGGAUUGUAAACCCGUUCGGAGGAACGACGGCUUAGACAACUAAGGCGACGUACCUCAGAGCAGCCACGCUAACUCGUGCCAGCACGCCG
rnacentral:rRNA from 1 species